AGUUUAAACUCAAGUGGCGACGGGUGAGUAACACGUAAGAAUUUGACCUCUAGGAGGGGGACAACAACUGGAAACGGUUGCUAAUACCCCAUAUGCUUUCGAGUGAAACGGAUUUUCCGCCUAGAGAGAAGCUUGCGGCUGAUUAGCUUGUUGGUGAGGUAAUGGCUUACCAAGGCGACGAUCAGUAUCUGGUUUGAGAGGACGAUCAGACACACUGGAACUGAGACACGGUCCAG
rnacentral:rRNA from 1 species